AUGUUUCAGGAUUCAGUGGCCUUUGAGGAUGUGGCUGUCAGCUUCACCCAGGAGGAGUGGGCUUUGCUGGAUCCUUCCCAGAAGAAUCUCUACAGGGAUGUGAUGCAGGAAACCUUCAAGAACCUGACCUCUGUAGGAAAAACAUGGAAAGUUCAGAACAUUGAAGAUGAGUACAAAAAUCCCAGGAGAAAUCUAAGAGAUGGAGUCUCCCUGUUUCCCAGGCUGGUCAUUGACUCCUGGAUCAUGUGAUUCUUCUGUCUCCAUCUCCCCAAGUUCUGGGAUUACAGACAUGAGCCACCACAAUUGGCUACUACUUUUUUAAAAAAUCACCUUGAGUCCUAUGGGGCCAAUAUGUUUUUGAAAACUGAAUUUCCUGCCCAGUAAAGAACAAAGUCAGCAUCACUAUUCCAA
rnacentral:sRNA from 1 species